GACGUAGGGGGCAAGCGUUGUCCGGAAUCAUUGGGCGUAAAGCGCUCGUAGGUGGAUCGGUAAGUCUGCAAAGAAAGACCCGGGCUCAACUCGGGGAACGGUGUGGAGUACUACCGAUCUUGAGGCAUCAGAGGAUGAUGGAAUUCCCGGUGUAGCGGUGAAAUGGCGUAGAUAAUCGGGAGGAACACCAGUGGCGAAGGCGAUCAUCUGGGGUUGUUCUGACACUGAG
rnacentral:rRNA from 1 species